rnacentral:rRNA from 1 species
UGGGGAAUUUUGGACAAUGGGCGCAAGCCUGAUCCAGCCAUGCCGCGUGCGGGAAGAAGGCCUUCGGGUUGUAAACCGCUUUUGUCAGGGAAGAAAUCUUCUGAGUUAAUACCUCGGGAGGAUGACGGUACCUGAAGAAUAAGCACCGGCUAACUACGUGCCAGCAGCCGCGGUAAUACGUAGGGUGCAAGCGUUAAUCGGAAUUACUGGGCGUAAAGCGUGCGCAGGCGGUUUUGUAAGACAGAGGUGAAAUCCCCGGGCUCAACCUGGGAACUGCCUUUGUGACUGCAAGGCUUGAGUGCGGCAGAGGGGGAUGGAAUUCCGCGUGUAGCAGUGAAAUGCGUAGAUAUGCGGAGGAACACCGAUGGCGAAGGCAAUCCCCUGGGCCUGCACUGACGCUCAUGCACGAAAGCGUGGGGAGCAAACAGGAUUAGAUACCCUGGUAGUCCACGCCCUAAACGAUGUCAACUGGUUGUUGGGAAGGUUCCUUCUCAGUAACGUAGCUAGCGCGUGAAGUUGACCGCCUGGGGAGUACGGCCGCAAGGUUGAAACUUAAAUGAAUUGACGGGGUCAUAGCUGUUUCCUG